AUGACAACAUGAUUUUUUUUGUAAUACACCAGUUAACAUAAAAGAGAACAGUGCGUAAAAAGUACAGGAUAAAGGCAAAAAUAAAAUAAAGAACAAUGGACAAAAAAAAUAGAAUAGGGAAUAAUAAGGUGUUAAAGAAUGGAGAACAAUGAGCAAAAUGUUUGAAGAAUAGAGAAAAAAAGCGGCUUAAAAAAUUACAAAGUAGAGAAUUGGAUAACCUUCCCCCACAUAAAUAC
rnacentral:lncRNA from 1 species